rnacentral:rRNA from 1 species
CCUACGGGCGGCAGCAGUGGGGAAUAUUGCACAAUGGGGGAAACCCUGAAGCCGCGACGCCGCGUGAGGGAUGCAGGAUUUCGGUAUGGAAAACUCUAUCAGCAUGGAAGAUAAUUACGGUACCUGACUAAGACGCUCCGGCUAAAUACGUGCCAGCAGCCGCGGUAAUACGUAAGGAGCAAGCGUUAUCCGGAUUUACUGGGUGUAAAGGGAGCGAAGACGGCAGGGCAGGUCUGAUGUGAAAGUCCGGGGCUCAACCACGGGACUGCAUUGGAAACUGUACGGCUAGAGUGCAGGAGAGGUAAGUGGAAUGCCUGGUGUAGCGGUGAAAUGCGUAGAUAUUAGGAGGAACACCAGUUGCGAAGGCGGCUUACUGGACUGUAACUGACGUUGAGGCUCGAAAGCGUGGGGAGCAAACAGGAUUAGAUACCCGGGUAGUC